ACACCCACAGAGAGAGGAGCUGAACAAAUCCAGCCAGGCUUUCCUCUCCCUCUCAAAUUCCAUCAGCAUUUUAUAGGCAACCGGCAUUUACUUUGUAUGGCAGACGAGUAGAAAGUCCUGAGUAAAUUAUAUGGAUUGUUAUAUGGCUUCAAAGAGCUAAUUUCUAUUCCAAUUCUACAUACAAUGGGUUUAGAAGGCAUUUUAUGUAUUGAUGUUAGGUUGUUUUCGUCCACUAGUAUGUGUCCAUGCAGUAUGUUGUGUCUUUGCCAACGAGACUUCUGAAGAGUGCUGUUUUGCUGUAUUAGUCACAGAAGAUGACACGCCAAUGGCCCUCUAUCCAUCCUAGUUAUUUUAGGCAAAGAACAUUUGUUUCAUAAUACCAAACUACUGAGAUAUUGAGAUACUGAGAGAAUGUAAUAUCUUAUCUGCAGGUUUUUUCUUUGCCCACCAUACCGAUUAAAUCUGAUGUGUAUCAUGUCUCCAUUGAGACACAUUUUCACAUUGUGUGUAUCAGAAGGUUUUGAUAAUCUAGUCCAACUGUGUAAUACCUAUCUCAACCUUAUCAUAACAUAUGACACAGUUGGUCUCUUGCUCCACUUUGCAAAUAAUGUCACUGACAAUGACUAACCGUUUGGUAACUUCAGCUGGAUGUCCCUUUUCCUUUUCCAUUCCUCUUGGCAGUGCUGGUGUUAUAUUGUCCUGGAGAUAAGAAUCAGAACAGUCUGGCGUUUGGUUUCAGUGAUGUCAUCUGGCUCUGUCUCUGGCUCUCUCUCUCUCUCUCUCUAACCCUCACCCCGAAACGAGCUGAACUAGACUUGAGUCAGGUCGGCCAUGACACAUCACUUCUCUCCUUCCUCCAGGAUUUCACAUCGUUCACCUUGUCAGACGAAAUAGUGUAUUUUUUGCCUUCAACACAAACAAAACUCCCAUUGAGUGAGCACUCAAGCCUACGCCUUCAGUGAUGUCAGAGUCACCAUGGCAACUAUUCUCACAAAUCACCUUCCUCAUCCUGCCAUCCCUCCUCUCCUGCCCUUUUCCUUUACAGCAAGUGUGGCAUUCAGACUGUCUCUUUCAUCUCUCCUUCAAACACUUACUGGGAUCUAGAUAGUGUUAUUGACAUGAGCCUGAUUUACACAUAAGAGAGUGAUGUGAUCUCUGAAAGUAGAGGGAGGGAGGGAGGGAGGUUGGGAGGGAGGGCGGGAGGGAGGGAGGGAGGUUGGGAGGCAGGGCAGGAGGGAGGGGUAGGGUCAGCUUCCCUUUGGGGUCAGUGGCACACAUCUGUCACUCCUCUAUCGCUUAUCCCUUUAUCAUUCUUCCAAACGACUCCAUCACUAUUGGGACCGUCCUCACGAUUUUACUUAGAGCCGUUUAAAAA
rnacentral:lncRNA from 13 species